rnacentral:rRNA from 1 species
UACGAAGGGGGCUAGCGUUGUUCGGAAUUACUGGGCGUAAAGCGCGCGCAGGCGGUCUUCCAAGUCAGUGGUGAAAUCCCAAGGCUCAACCUUGGAACUGCCUUUGAUACUGGGGAUCUUGAGUCCGGGAGAGGUGAGUGGAACUGCGAGUGUAGAGGUGAAAUUCGUAGAUAUUCGCAAGAACACCAGUGGCGAAGGCGGCUCACUGGCCCGGUACUGACGCUGAGGUGCGAAAGCGUGGGGAGCAAACAGG